GAAAGGAUCCUGAAGGGGAGUGUGCCUUCACCUAAACUAGGAUGUUGCGUUGAAUGAGCUAAACAAGUCAAAAGGACAUAAAGAUGCUGCCAGCCCUGCUGGGCUUUUCCAGCAACUUUGUUUUUGCUCCUGUCCGGGUGCAUAGUGCCCUGGUGCGGCAACUGCUGUGCCCAGGACCAUAAGAAACUACAGAAUGAGGUGUGCAGAGCCCAGUCCAUCACAGAAGCCUGCUUUCCACCCAAGGGCUCUAUUUACACGGCUCGCUGCUGCAGAAAGGCGGCCAACAUCAUCAAAGACCCAUCGCACCCUGGUAAUGAGCUCCUUACAACCUCUUCCAUCAGCCAGAAGAUACAGAAGCCUGAACACACGCACGAGCAGCUUCAGGAACAGCUUGUUUCUGGCCGUUAUCAGACUGUUGAAUAGAUUCUAGCCUCAAAUAACGUAAGCUGCAAUGUAACCUGUAUGCCUCUCAGUCUUUUUGAUCUGUACAUCUUUGGAAGCUAUGAUCUGCCUAUACCGCUUGUAAACAAAGCUUUUCACUGUAUUUGGGUACACAUGACAAUAGAUCAAUAAAUCAAUAACGAUGCA